rnacentral:rRNA from 1 species
UGGGGAAUUUUGGACAAUGGGCGCAAGCCUGAUCCAGCCAUGCCGCGUGAGUGAAGAAGGCCUUCGGGUUGUAAAGCUCUUUUGUCCGGGAGCAAGUCCUACUGGCUAAUAUCUGGUGGGGAUGAGAGUACUGGAAGAAUAAGCACCGGCUAACUACGUGCCAGCAGCCGCGGUAAUACGUAGGGUGCAAGCGUUAAUCGGAAUUACUGGGCGUAAAGCGUGCGCAGGCGGUUUUGUAAGCCAGAUGUGAAAUCCCCGAGCUUAACUUGGGAACUGCGUUUGGAACUACAAGACUAGAGUGUGUCAGAGGGGGGUAGAAUUCCACGUGUAGCAGUGAAAUGCGUAGAGAUGUGGAGGAAUACCGAUGGCGAAGGCAGCCCCCUGGGAUAACACUGACGCUCAUGCACGAAAGCGUGGGGAGCAAACA